CGAGCCCGAAAGGGAAGGGGGGCGUGUGUGAGCCCGCGUGCGUGUGUGUGAGAAGGAGGGAGGGAAGGAGUGAGUGCAGCCUGCAACUCGUACGACUAGCGAAAAUGAGGCGAAGGAGGGGGAGAGUGAGCGGAGGGUGAGAACAAAAGCCUUGCUGAAGCGGCCGGCUUGCUUUCCCAGAUCUUCUAGGUCUCUGAAAUUGGGACCACAUCUCCCCCUACCUCUUUAUCCCUUUAGUCCCUUUCUCCCGCCGCCACCCCCCGCCCCACUCCCAGGCAGCGGCCAUCACUGCGCGUCUGUGCCCCUUGCUCUGGCUGGCGCGGACACCAGGGGCCCGAGCCCCCUCCACGCGCGCCUUCACCAGCCAAGCACCCUGAUUCGUCAACUUUCCCGUUUGCCUUAUUCAUUAUGCAAGUCCCAGCACUGGCAAGUCGCAGCAGAUGGGAGAAGGCAUUUGGGGAUUAAUGGAGCUAUUUGCCUUUUGCUUUUUUUUAAGUGUUUAAAUUGAUUCUCACAACUCAGUAACUUUGGAGGCGGAGGAUGCAGCUCUGAGCACGCAGCCCCAGGCCGAGGAUGAGGCAAGGGGUUAGUGUGAGGUCCGGGCUGGUAAACAGGAGCUAGGAGGGAUAGGCGAACAGCUGGAUGACUGGGGCAUAAGCCUUAAAACUAUCCUUUUCCAAGUCGGGGCAAUGAAGUCUCUGUGCCCACCCCUCAGCCCCCACCUCCUCCGGGGGCCCGUGUGUGCGCGUGUGUGCACGCGCUCCAUGUGCAUGCCUAAAAAAUCUGAACAAAGAGACCCACCAAAAAUAGGCGAAGGAACAUCAUCACCUCACUAGUAAUUAUUUUCUAUUUAUACGCAGAGUAUCCGAUGAAUAUUUUCCCCCAGAGGGGAGGGAUUUUGGGGGGGGAGAGAUGAGAAGUUCUGGUGGGUUCGGGUCUGCUGGGAGGUGUGGGUGGUCUCUGAAGCAAGCUCCAGGGAUUGGAGAACCCUGACCCACUAAGGGAGUAAUGCGCUGGCCCCGCCCACCUCCUGCAACUCCAAGGUGCCCUGGGUCAUUUUAAUUCCCCACAGUCAAGCCAGUCCCUAUCGAUUCUCGUGGUCUGUGUUAAGGUGAGGGGGGCAGGCAGACGCAGGACUGCGGCAGCGGGUGUCCGCCUUGUAGGGAAGGAUUACACAGACACAGAGGACUUCAGCGAUCCCUUGAAGCUCAGGAUGAAGAACCCGUUUAGAAAAUGUAAGCUCCAGCAAGGCAGAGACUGCGGUCACCUGUGUGCUGCUGUAUCCCCAGGGCUUGUAUUGUGCAUGGCUCAGAGCAGACAAUAAACAUUUGUUGAAUGAACAAAUGAA